UGGGGAAUUUUGGACAAUGGGGGAAACCCUGAUCCAGCCAUCCCGCGUGUGCGAUGAAGGCCUUCGGGUUGUAAAGCACUUUUGGUAGGAAAGAAACGUCAUGGGUUAAUACCCUGUGAAACUGACGGUACCUGCAGAAUAAGCACCGGCUAACUACGUGCCAGCAGCCGCGGUAAUACGUAGGGUGCAAGCGUUAAUCGGAAUUACUGGGCGUAAAGCGUGCGCAGGCGGUUCGGAAAGAAAGAUGUGAAAUCCCAGAACUCAACUUUGGAACUGCAUUUUUAACUACCGGGCUAGAGUGUGUCAGAGGGGGGUGGAAUUCCGCGUGUAGCAGUGAAAUGCGUAGAUAUGCGGAGGAACACCGAUGGCGAAGGCAGCCUACUGGGAUAACACUGACGCUCAUGCACGAAAGCGUGGGGAGCAAACAGG
rnacentral:rRNA from 1 species